UACAGAGGUCUCAAGCGUUGUUCGGAUUCAUUGGGCGUAAAGGGUGCGUAGGCGGCGCGGUAAGUCGGGUGUGAAAUCUCGGGGCUUAACUCCGAAACUGCAUUCGAUACUGCCGUGCUUGAGGACUGGAGAGGAGACUGGAAUUUACGGUGUAGCGGUGAAAUGCGCAGAUAUCAGGAGGAACACCGAUGGCGAAGGCAGGUCUCUGGGCCAUAACUGACGCUGAGAAGCGAAAGCAUGGGGAGCGAACAGG
rnacentral:rRNA from 1 species